UUAAUUGAAACCAAAAUAGAGGUAUAUCACUGUUAAUGAUAUCAUUAAGAAAAACUUCAAUUAAA
rnacentral:tRNA from 1 species